rnacentral:rRNA from 1 species
CCUACGGGGAGCAGCAGUGAGGAAUAUUGGUCAAUGGACGAGAGUCUGAACCAGCCAAGUAGCGUGAAGGAUGACUGCCCUAUGGGUUGUAAACUUCUUUUAUAUGGGAAUAAAACAGGGUAUGCAUACCCUCUUGUAUGUACCAUAUGAAUAAGGAUCGGCUAACUCCGUGCCAGCAGCCGCGGUAAUACGGAGGAUCCGAGCGUUAUCCGGAUUUAUUGGGUUUAAAGGGCGCGUAGGUGGAUUGUUAAGUCAGUUGUGAAAGUUUGCGGCUCAACCGUAAAAUUGCAGUUGAAACUGGCAGUCGUGAGUACAGUAGAGGUGGGCGGAAUUCGUGGUGUAGCGGUGAAAUGCUUAGAUAUCACGAAGAACUCCGAUUGCGAAGGCAGCUCACUGGACUGCAACUGACACUGAUGCUCGAAAGUGUGGGUAUCAAACAGGAUUAGAUACCCGGGUAGUC